GACGAACGCUGGCGGCGUGCCUAAUACAUGCAAGUCGAACGCAGUGGGGACGGGUGAGUAACACGUGGGUAACCUACCAUCAGAGGGGAUAACACUUGGAAACAGGUGCUAAACUGAUACUGAUGGAUGAACCCGCGGUGCAUUAGCUAGUUGGUGAGGUAACGGCCCACCAGGGCCGCGAUGCAUAGCCGACCGGAGAGAGUGAUCGGCCACACUGGGACUUGGACACGGCCCAGACUCCUACGUGAGGCAGCAGUAGUGAAUCUUCGGCAAUGGACGAAAGUCUGACCCAGCAACGCCGCGUGAGUGAAGCAGGUUUUCGGAGCGUAAAACUCUGUUGUUAGAGAAGCGGUAUCUACCCAGAAAGCCACGGCUAACUACGUGCCAGCAGCCGCGGUAAUUC
rnacentral:rRNA from 1 species